rnacentral:rRNA from 1 species
GUUAAGCGACUAAGCGUACACGGUGGAUGCCCUGGCAGUCAGAGGCGAUGAAGGACGUGCUAAUCUGCGAAAAGCGUCGGUAAGGUGAUAUGAACCGUUAUAACCGGCGAUGUCCGAAUGGGGAAACCCAGUGCAAUUCGUUGCACUAUCGUUAACUGAAUACAUAGGUUAACGAGGCGAACCGGGGGAACUGAAACAUCUAAGUACCCCGAGGAAAAGAAAUCAACCGAGAUUCCCCCAGUAGCGGCGAGCGAACGGGGAGCAGCCCAGAGUCUGAAUCAGCUUGUGUGUUAGUGGAACGGUCUGGAAAGUCCGACGGUACAGGGUGAUAGUCCCGUACACCAAAAUGCACAGGCUGUGAACUCGAAGAGUAGGGCGGGACACGUGGUAUCCUGUCUGAAUAUGGGGGGACCAUCCUCCAAGGCUAAAUACUCCUGACUGACCGAUAGUGAACCAGUACCGUGAGGGAAAGGCGAAAAGAACCCCGGCGAGGGGAGUGAAAAAGAACCUGAAACCGUGUACGUACAAGCAGUGGGAGCACCUUCGGGUGUGACUGCGUACCUUUUGUAUAAUGGGUCAGCGACUUAUAUUCUGUAGCAAGGUUAACCGUAUAGGGGAGCCGCAGGGAAACCGAGUCUUAACUGGGCGUUAAGUUGCAGGGUAUAGACCCGAAACCCGGUGAUCUAGCCAUGGGCAGGUUGAAGGUUGGGUAACACUAACUGGAGGACCGAACCGACUAAUGUUGAAAAAUUAGCGGAUGACUUGUGGCUGGGGGUGAAAGGCCAAUCAAACCGGGAGAUAGCUGGUUCUCCCCGAAAGCUAUUUAGGUAGCGCCUCGUGAAUUCAUCUUCGGGGGUAGAGCACUGUUUCGGCUAGGGGGUCAUCCCGACUUACCAACCCGAUGCAAACUACGAAUACCGAAGAAUGUUAUCACGGGAGACACACGGCGGGUGCUAACGUCCGUCGUGAAGAGGGAAACAACCCAGACCGCCAGCUAAGGUCCCAAAGUCAUGGUUAAGUGGGAAACGAUGUGGGAAGGCACAGACAGCCAGGAUGUUGGCUUAGAAGCAGCCAUCAUUUAAAGAAAGCGUAAUAGCUCACUGGUCGAGUCGGCCUGCGCGGAAGAUGUAACGGGGCUAAACCAUGCACCGAAGCUGCGGCAGCGACACUAUGUGUUGUUGGGUAGGGGAGCGUUCUGUAAGCCUGCGAAGGUGUGCUGUGAGGCAUGCUGGAGGUAUCAGAAGUGCGAAUGCUGACAUAAGUAACGAUAAAGCGGGUGAAAAGCCCGCUCGCCGGAAGACCAAGGGUUCCUGUCCAACGUUAAUCGGGGCAGGGUGAGUCGACCCCUAAGGCGAGGCCGAAAGGCGUAGUCGAUGGGAAACAGGUUAAUAUUCCUGUACUUGGUGUUACUGCGAAGGGGGGACGGAGAAGGCUAUGUUAGCCGGGCGACGGUUGUCCCGGUUUAAGCAUGUAGGCUGGUUGUCCAGGCAAAUCCGGAUAAUCAAGGCUGAGGUGUGAUGACGAGGCACUACGGUGCUGAAGUAACAAAUGCCCUGCUUCCAGGAAAAGCCUCUAAGCAUCAGGUAACAUCAAAUCGUACCCCAAACCGACACAGGUGGUCAGGUAGAGAAUACCAAGGCGCUUGAGAGAACUCGGGUGAAGGAACUAGGCAAAAUGGUGCCGUAACUUCGGGAGAAGG